GCAGGCUGGGAGUACAUAAAUCAGUCUGGGUUGUGUUCCCAAGCAAAAGGCCCAAAUGGGACAGAGCAGGAACCUAUUUGAGAAAACCAGAGGCGUACUGAACCCAGCUUCAUUGACAGAAUGAAAACAGCGGAAAAAAUGAGAGCCAUCACUAAUGAGGAGCAAACAUUGGGAAUAUGUUACAGAAACUGCCAGAAGGCCAAUAACAUCCUGGGUUCCAUCAGAAGAUGAGUGGCCAGCAGGGUGAGGGAGGUGAAUGUGUCCCUCUACUCUGCCCUCAUGAGGCCCCAGCUGGAGAAUUGUGUCCAGGUCUGGGGCAUUCAACACAGGAAAGAUGUGGAGCUGUUGGAAAGGGUCCAGAGGAGGGCCAUGAAGAUGAUCGGAAGACUGGAGCACCUCGCCUACAAAGACAGGAUGAUGGAGACCUCACUGCAGCCUUCCAGUAUUUAAAGGGAGUUUGUAAAUGUUUUUGUGCCUUCAUCUUAUUUAGACAAGAAAUGCAUCGUCAGUGUUCAGCCUAGUGCAAGCUAAAGGAUGUAAUGCAGAAAGUUGAAAAAGUGCAUGGUGGACAGCUGGUUCAGCUUUUUAAAGCUAUUUUCAUCUCCUUAUGAUGCUUGCAUUAUGGUGUAUGGCUGUCAUGAGCAUACAGCCUGUGAACACGUGAUCUGCCCUAGGACCUGCAGGAGCUGGAGGAGGCUUCUUGGGCACUGUGUGAUUCAUGUAGAUGCCCAUGUGAACCACUAACCUGGCUGGGGAGAGGAGGGAGCUCCACCUGCACCAUGUCAGCAUCAGCAGGAGUAGGCAGAGCUGAGAUGGAGGGACUGGAUGGAAGGAGAUGUCAGGACAGCAGGCAACUUCUGCUAGCCACACAAAUCACCACACAAAUCACCCCCACAUUCAAUCAGCAGACUCCAAAGAAUGUGGAGAAAGCCUGCUGGAAAUUUGGGGAUCUACACUACUCUUGGGGAUGGCUUUUCUGACAGAGGUGAGUCUACAGCAAGGUACAAUUUGGAAGCUACUUGUGUAGACACAAUGGCAUCACUUCUUUCUUUUUUUCCCCCACAGUGCUCAAUACUGUUUUCCAUGCUAUCAGCAUUAAACAGUCUGGGUUAAUUUCCCAGUGCUGAGGUUUCUCACCACAAUUCCUAUAUUUAUCCAGAGAGAAAAUGGGGCAAUGAUCUCAUAGGAGGAAAACAAAAGAGCCUGUUUCUCUCCAGAGUAAGUAGGUCAAUGCCAUGAGGUGAGAUGGAAGUGAGGCCCAUGGUGCUCUUGGAGUAGAUGGAGGAGAGUGAGCAGGCAGCAGAGCUGCUCAGAGGAGAGACAAGACACUUUGGUGAUGGUGUUCCAACAAGCUGGCAGCAAAGGUGAGUAUGAAGGGGUUUCACAAUGCAAACAUUGUUCCUGUGAAGAGGUAAAGUCCAACAAGAACCCCAUCUCCAUUGUCUUCAUGCAGAGUGGGGAGGCAGGAGGGCUGCUGAUCCCAGUGCCGGACUGGGAGCCAGAAGACACAGCUGCAGUCCCUCACGAGUGCCUGGAAGUUACCUAACCUUCCUCUUUCCUCAUUUGUUUAAUAGGGUUAAUAAACACACUCUGCCCCACA